CCCUUAGAUGUCCGGGGCUGCACGCGCGCUACACUGAAGGAAUCAGCGUGCUAAAACCAUUGUCGAAAGGCAUUGGUAAACCCAUUAAAAUCCUACGUGAUUGGGAUCGGGAAUUGCAAUUAUUUCCCUUGAACGAGGAAUUCCCAGUAAGUGUGGGUCAUAAGCUCGCGUUGAUUACGUCCCUGCCCUUUGUACACACCGCCCGUCGCUGCCCGGGACUGAGCCGUUUCGAGAAAAGCGGGGACUGCUGCUGUCGGGGCUUUCGGGCCUUGGCUUCGGUGGAAACCGCUUUAAUCGCAGUGGCUUGAACCGUGCAAAAGUCGUAACA
rnacentral:rRNA from 1 species